UACGGGGGGGGCAAGCGUUGUUCGGAAUUACUGGGCGUAAAGCGUGCGCAGGCGGUCUUGCAAGACAGGUGUGAAAUCCCCGGGCUUAACCUGGGAACUGCACUUGUGACUGCAAGGCUGGAGUGCGGCAGAGGGGGAUGGAAUUCCGCGUGUAGCAGUGAAAUGCGUAGAUAUGCGGAGGAACACCGAUGGCGAAGGCAAUCCCCUGGGCCUGCACUGACGCUCAUGCACGAAAGCGUGGGGAGCAAACAGG
rnacentral:rRNA from 1 species